UACGUAGGGCGCAAGCGUUGUCCGGAAUUAUUGGGCGUAAAGAGCUCGUAGGCGGCCUGUUGCGUCCGCUGUGAAAUCCCGGGGCUCAACCCCGGGCCUGCAGUGGAUACGGGCUGGCUGGAGGCAGGCAGGGGAGAACGGAAUUCCCGGUGUAGCGGUGAAAUGCGCAGAUAUCAGGAGGAACACCGGUGGCGAAGGCGGUUCUCUGGGCCUGUUCUGACGCUGGAGGAGCGAAAGCCGUGGGGAGCGAACAGG
rnacentral:rRNA from 1 species